rnacentral:lncRNA from 1 species
UACUAUGGCAGAGUCAUAGUUGAUUGAUAUAUUAAAAUAUGAUAUUGUUGAUUAUUAAUUUUAUUGCAGUGUUAGAUAGUUUAGUUACUCAUUGUUUCUAUUUCUAGCACUAUUGUUCUAGUAUCAUUCUCUUUUCCCUUUGGUGAACCUCUUUUCUUUCAUAUCAUUUUGGAGGGAAAAUUCUAACCUUUUGAUUGGUCAAUCUUCAGGUCAGAGGCCUUACUAUAGGUUUUCAUUGUUUCUGGUAGAUUUAGACUGCAGACAUAUUGGAAUGCAGUGAAAAUUACCUGCUUGAUAUAUUCAACUCUGACAUUCAUGAUAUUUAUAUUUUACUUCUUGGAUUUUCAAUAUUCUUAUAUUCAGGUCAGUUAAUA